rnacentral:rRNA from 1 species
GAUGAACGCUAGCGGCAGGCCUAAUACAUGCAAGUCGGACGGGAUUUGGGAGCUUGCUCCUAAUGAGAGUGGCGCACGGGUGCGUAACACGUAUGUAACCUACCUUUGUCAGGGGGAUAGCCUCUCGAAAGAGAGAUUAAGACCGCAUAACAUUAUAGAAUAGCAUUAUUUAUAAUCAAAUAUUUAUAGGACAAAGAUGGGCAUGCGGAACAUUAGCUAGNGGUAGGGUAACGGCCUACCAAGGCUACGAUGUUUAGGGGAUCUGAGAGGAUGACCCCCACACUGGUACUGAGACACGGACCAGACUCCUACGGGAGGCAGCAGUAAGGAAUAUUGGUCAAUGGGCGCAAGCCU